rnacentral:rRNA from 1 species
CCUACGGGAGGCUGCAGUGGGGAAUAUUGGACAAUGGGGGGAACCCUGAUCCAGCCAUGCCGCGUGUGUGAAGAAGGCCCUCGGGUUGUAAAGCACUUUCAGUGAGGAAGAACGCCUGGUGGUUAAUACCCAUCAGGAAAGACAUCACUCACAGAAGAAUCACCGGCUAACUCCGUGCCAGCAGCCGCGGUAAUACGGAGGGUGCGAGCGUUAAUCGGAAUUACUGGGCGUAAAGCGCGCGUAGGUGGCUUGAUAAGCCGGUUGUGAAAGCCCCGGGCUCAACCUGGGAACGGCAUCCGGAACUGUCAAGCUAGAGUGCAGGAGAGGAAGGUAGAAUUCCCGGUGUAGCGGUGAAAUGCGUAGAGAUCGGGAGGAAUACCAGUGGCGAAGGCGGCCUUCUGGACUGACACUGACACUGAGGUGCGAAAGCGUGGGUAGCAAACAGGAUUAGAUACCCCAGUAGUC